rnacentral:rRNA from 1 species
UAGGGAAUCUUCCACAAUGGACGAAAGUCUGAUGGAGCAACGCCGCGUGAGUGAAGAAGGGUUUCGGCUCGUAAAGCUCUGUUGUUAAAGAAGAACGUGGGUAAGAGUAACUGUUUACCCAGUGACGGUAUUUAACCAGAAAGCCACGGCUAACUACGUGCCAC